UUGUCCUCGCUACUCCUCUGUAUCCACACAACAGAAUCUCAUGAAACUUUGUAGUUAAUUAGGGCAUACUAUGCAGAUAUGCAUAUCCACAAAAAAUCUUUAUUAGUUCACUUUUGUAGCAGUUAUUAUUCUUUAGACUUAGAAUCUGGAUAUAGUUUGUUUGAACAGUGACAAUGUAUGGGUAUUAGAGAGCGUGCUGACAGGCUUUUUAAUAUUUCAGGUAUCCUGGCAGAAAGUACACAGGUUUACCUUUCUCAGAUUAUGGCUGUGAAAGUUCUGCUUUUGUACAAUUCAAAUCCUAACUUAA
rnacentral:lncRNA from 1 species